UUUACAAAAACAGCUUCAUGGGUCUCAGUGGAGGUCAUUACAAUGGGGAUGAGCGGCGUCCCCUUAUGGUUUGAAAAGCAUACAUUAACAUAGGAGCAGAAGAAAGUGGGGACAAGAAGUAUGAGUGUGUAGAGAACAAGCCAAGGAGUACGACGGCUUUAAUUGGAGCCCUGAGAGCUUCGGGGAAAGGAACAAAAGUGCGUGGUUGGUUGAUGGAGAAAUCUAAAAGGUUUUCUGAGAAAGAGACACAUGAAUACAUGACUUCUCCGGCUUUUUAAAAAUAUGUUCAACCGCAAGCGCUUGGAGCGCCAGGACAAAAAAAGUGUUCCGAAAAAAAGACGCUGGUUGCAGAGCUUCUAUUUGAGUGUGCAUCAUACUCCUCAUUAGAAACAAAUGGAAAAAAAGGCUAUGGCACUCUGUGGACACAGGCCCUAAUGCAUGCAACUCUGCACACAUGUGUUCCAGGCCUGCUUCUCCAUGAAAAAGGCUGUUGGGCUGUUUGGAUGGCCGACAUGACAUCACACCUCAACAAAAUAAUACUGUAAAUGUCAAACUUAAUAAAUCAUUGUACUGUAAUGCAGUCUUGCUAGUUGAUAAUGUAGCAGAAAACUCUGAAUAUUUAUUCGAAACAACUCUUAAAAAAAAGAGUUUACAAUCAAGUUGUAAAACAUUUGCAUUAAGAAUGCAUUGCACAAUGUUUUCCCUAACUCAGAUCACAGCGUAUUCAUGUCUGGUUAUAUUUAGGAAAACAUGGCGCACGUGCAGGUUUGCUGCUGUUUUGCGUUAAUUUUGUCUUCUCUCAACCGAUCAUCUCUAUGUUGAAGACCAUGGGGUGCGGUCAAAAGCACAGGUGCUACAAAAGAAUCUAGAAGUACAUAAAGUCCAAAAUGUCCCAAAAUACUGGAAAUAUGCAAAUAAAUUGGUUUGACAUAUUUCAUGUGAAAGGACUGACAGUAAGUACAAUAUCACGUCAAUUCCUUUUCCAACGUGGAAUCGACCAUCUUUUAAAUAUCAUACAGACAAUGGAAAAUGCACAGUUUAAAAAUGUGAAAAAUGAUUACAAGCACAACGUUCUCUUUAUAUUCCCAUGAAGUAAUUUCACUAAAGAAACUUGCAACAGUACAGUGAAGCAGCUUUGUCAAUGAAUGCAAGCUCUCUGCUUAUUGCGAUGGCAUUUGAUAUUCAGAAUAGAUCUCUAAAACAGCACCAAUAUUUAGUCUUAUUAAUAGUUAAUCUGAUAUAAUAAAACACAAUUGCAAAUAAAUAAAUACACUCUUUCCAAAGUCUAUUGCCCUGGGAUUCUUUCGUAAAUUUCGAGUUUUGACAAAGAACUGUAAAGGUCAUGUAAGAAAGUUAAAACACCUCUAGGCAUGAGUUGGAGAGUGAGCCAUUCUGCUAAGGAGACUCUGACGGUUGUUUUCCACCGAGUGUGAUUGAUUCAUAGCUUUUUAAUGCAUACAUUCAACACAUCAUGUUUGCAUGAAGCAUGUUCAGAAGCUGUAUAUCUAGCCUGCAGACUAAAGAGGGGCCUUAGUGACAAAGAGAUGAAUUAUAGGUAAACGAGGGGAACUGGUUGCCAGGGGACUUGUAUCACAACACUUCACAUAUGUGAUUAAAUCUCCAGGCAGUUGCAAUUUCAGGCAAAAAUGUCCAAGUCAGAGUGGAGUGGGCAGCAGCCACUGAAGGAGAAGUUCAUUUUACAACAAAAACAUCUAAUGUACAAGUGGCAAAAAUGAAAGAACGCAAUGAAUAUUUCAUCUUUCUUGGAUCAUUGUUAAUCAUAAUGCCCAGAGCAAUGAGAAGGGGAUUUGAAUGAAAUAGAUAUAUAUUUUAUGGCUCAGUAAGAUUGAGAAAAUGAUAUCUAAUGCCAUUAAUGCCAAGUUAGUUCAGUGUGAUGGUGCUCCCCUCCCGCCAUCAUCUUUAUUUAAAAUCUUCAGUGAACACAGAUAGCUUACAGAAAUAUGAUUCAAUAAUACCAAAUAGAUAUGGGGCUCUUUAAUCUUUUUAUUGGCAAGAUCGAUUAUUGUGGACACAUAGAAGAAUAUAGCUUUCUAUUCAAAUGCACAUUUUGUGUUUAGCAGAUAUGGUUUCUGUUCCCUUCCAUAAAAAAGUCAUGCAAACAACUUGUAACUUGUGAUAAAAUGAGUCAGGCAUGAUCUCAGUCAAAAAACAAACAUUGAGCAGGUAAUCCUAUUUGCACUGCCUGUAUCCAAACAUAAAACCAACAAAGGAAGAACUUACCUGCACAGAAUCCACCCACAACACUUUUAUUUAUUUAUUGUGAGCAACGGACAAUUUAAUUUCCACUAAAGUUAGUUUUUUCCUUCUUAAUUCUUUACACGGAAAAGCAAUCAAGUAGCAACAGCCUUUUCCCAGCUUCUAUGUUUAUGCUCAGGCAGUCUAAAGUGGAAUUCUUUAUGUGUCAGUUGCAAUUAAAAAAUAUCCAUCCAUCCAUCUUCUCCCGCUUAUCCGUGGUCGGGUCGCGGGGGUAGCAGUUCCAUAUUAAAACAUAUAUAAUCUGCUAAAUAUUUGAAGUGUUAGGCUGCAAUAGGAUUACAAUUUCUGAUUUUGCAAUUAGGAUAACAUUUUGUGAUUUUGAGUGGCUGAGCUUUUGCUGUGCAAAGUGAUGAACAAAAUACUUUUACUGACUUUAAAUGAUAUGAUGUCUCUGAAUGCUUCCAUCAGUAAUCUGUAGGUAUCUGCAUUUAUGAAUGACUUUUAGGGAAU